CUCCACCACACACAUAAUCAACAACACUCUGCACACACCCCUCCACCACACACAUAAUCAACAAGCACUGCACACACCCCUCCACCACACACAUAAUUAACAACAAUCUGCGCACACCCCUCCACCACACACAUAAUUAACAACAAUCUGCACACACCCAUCCACCACACACAUAAUCAUCAACAAUCUGCACACACCCCUCCACCACACACAUAAUCAACAACACUCUGCACACACCCCUCCACCACACACAUAAUCAACAACACUGCACACACCCCUCCACCACACACAUAAUUAACAACAAUCUGCACACACCCCUCCACCACACACAUAAUUAACAACAAUCUGCACACACCCAUCCACCACACACAUAAUCAUCAACAAUCUGCACACACCCCUCCACCACACACAUAAUCAACAACACUCUGCACACACCCCUCCACCACACACAUAAUCAACAACAAUCUGCACACACCCCUCCACCACACACAUAAUCAACAACACUGCGGCACACCCCUCAACCACACACAUAAUCAACAACAAUCUGCGCACACCCCUCCACCACACACAUAAUCAACAACACUCUGGGCACGCAACUCCACCACACACAUAAUCAACAACANUCUGGGNNNGCAACUCCACCACACACAUAAUUAACAANAUUGUGGGGGGCNACUCCCCACACACAUUAUUAAAAACANUCUUCACACACAACUCCCCCCGCACNUAAUCANAAAAUUUGGGGGGCCACUUCCCCNCCACNUAAUCANAAGNAUUGGGGG
rnacentral:sRNA from 1 species